CAACGUGAUGACCAACAUUUAAAAAAUUACAAACUAGAGUUUCUGAAUAUCUAAUGAUUAGAAACUAAAUAUGCAUUUACUGAUA